rnacentral:rRNA from 1 species
UCCUUAGGUAGCGGCGGACGGGUGAGUAACACGUGGGUAACCUGCCUGUAAGACUGGGAUAACUCCGGGAAACCGGGGCUAAUACCGGAUGCUUGAUUGAACCGCAUGGUUCAAUCAUAAAAGGUGGCUUUCAGCUACCACUUGCAGAUGGACCCGCGGCGCAUUAGCUAGUUGGUGAGGUAACGGCUCACCAAGGCGACGAUGCGUAGCCGACCUGAGAGGGUGAUCGGCCACACUGGGACUGAGACACGGCCCAGACUCCUACGGGAGGCAGCAGUGGUCAUAG